rnacentral:pre_miRNA from 1 species
AGGAGGAACAACCGCAGUGGCGGGGCCAGCUCUGCAGCCCUGGAGUCAGCCCCCGCAGUAGCUCCGGAGCUCUCCGUCUGCAGGGCCUGGAGGCUCUGGGCGGGG